AUUUUCAUCACCACUUAUUUUUGCCAGAAAAGAAGAGAAGCAGACAUCAUUUUUCAGGAAACCCUCCAAAACGAGUAGACAACAUUGUGGAAAAGGACUGAUAGGAGCAACACACGAUAAGGAAAAAUGAAUGGAAUGGAAAAAUGAACAGACACAGAAAUGACAGGCUGAAGAUUAGCAUAUAUCUGUGCCUUCUUAGCUUUACCUCAUCAAAGAACAGUUGGAAUUGAAUCUCACUCACACGGAGACAGAGAAUGCUUCACCACAACUACCCAAUUUUGGCACCUCCACCACAGCCCUUGGCUCCUGCUGAAGGUGGGAGCGAC